rnacentral:misc_RNA from 1 species
CGGAUCUUAAUUUACUUGUAGGGAUUUCAUGGGCACCUGAACUGCAAACAACAGCAGUUGUCCGCUAUCUCUAUCCCCAAAAAAAUUGAAAAAGAAUUUGAUGGCAAUUGAACUUUAAUCCUGAUCAGUAGUAACUUGGCCAAAUAUAUCAGGACAUGACUCCCAAUUUCCCUGUUGCCUGGCUUCCCAAUAUCCGCCAACAUAACGAUAUGAAUCACUUCCUUUAUCCUUUACAAACCACCGCGGCUUCCAUCCACUCUCUUGCAUUUUCCGGGCCUAAUACAAAUCCAAACAAUAUAUCAUCAGAACAAGUGACAGGAAAUGGUUUGUCAAUCACAAUUUUAAGGAAAUCAGACCUCAAGUUUAAUAUUACAAUCUAGUAGUUCAUUGUGUGAUACAUAAAAUCAGACCUCUUACACCAUUUUACAUCGCUGUCCAUCUUUCUUCUCAAUUUGACCAGUUAUUAAGACAUCUAUCUUAGCAUUGAUGCACGGAAUUCAAUUAAAAAUAAUGUGCCAAAUUAUCCAACCUUAAGGAAGACAGUCUACUCAUCUUAGUGCUCACAAACAUGCGCGCACACACCACCAGAGGAGGGGCCAACUUACCUGGCGUUGGCGCUGCUCGAGUCGCAAUUUCUCUAAAUUUGCCAUCUCAAAUUCACCAUUUUCCAAGUGCCUUUGAUCUGGCCUAAGCCUUGAAUCUGUAGGUGGCAACUUUUCCUUAAGUCCUGGAGUAAGUUCAUUCAAUGUUAUGGCAAAGCGUGUCAAGUUAUAUCUGGUGGGAAAUUUGGGAGGCCUGCUUCGCUUCCAGAGUAGAUGGGCAUCUUUUAGAGAUUCAAAUCCUUUUCCCUUAACAGGGCAGUCAUCAUUCACGUAAUGCAUGCUCUCAUCCCACUUUCCAAAAAGAGUUGCCACUCUUUUACCAUUCCUGCCUUGAACUGCCCCAUGUACCUGGUGAGGAUUUCGGUCUAUGAUGGACUGUUCCUUAAAUUUCAGUUUGCAUGAAUAUUCACGAUUUCCCUCUAUUCGCAUUGUGCCAUAGUGAUCACAGUACAAUUUUCCCAAUAUAAGAUUGUAAAUUGAUGUCGUAACCUUGCUCCAUUGAAAAACUUCUCCAUCAUCAAAUUCCAAUGUCAAAACACCAACAGGAUCAAGCUGAAUUGAACGACCCCAAAAUUUGCUCUUUAGAUUACUAUCUCCACAAAAUUUCCAUCCUUUACCCUCACAAUGACAUGCAACAAUCAUGGGGUGAUGACUGACCUUCUCAGAGAAAAAUCGGAGGCCUUUGUCUGGAUAGUCAGCCUCAUAUGUUUCCCCUAAUAAUGGAUUAAAUGGUUUGCAAAUUCUUCCCUCAGUUGAAGCAUAUCCAGAUACAGCAAAAGCAGCAACAUUAAGAAUCCUCAUAAGGCUAUUACCCCUUCUUCCCCAUUCAUAUGCCCGAUCAAGGAGGUAUGAGUAUUCCAAAUCUUCAAAACAUUUUUGCAGAGAAGAGAGAGGUUCAUUAAAGUAAACCGGAAGACAAACUUUGGUGAGGUCCUUCCCAAUAUUAUCCUUGAUCAUGGACCAAAGGCUAACACCUUUUUCUUUCUCAACUGGGUCAGGUAACUUCUUACGCCGCUUAACAUAAGGAUAAUCUUUCCCAACAGAUCUAAUGGAAGGAUCGGUAUCAUCUUCUGAUUCAAGUGCAUAAAGCCCUCCGUCAUCAGAAGAGAAAGAUGAUGUCCUAAAAUCAGAUCCACUACUUUUGAAGGAACCUGAUGACAGAAAGUCACGAGUAUCAAAGAAGGUAUUCUCAUCAUCAUCGGUUUCUUCCUCUGCAGCAUCAACUCUUUCAUUCUCAUAAUCAGAUUCAGUUGCACUUGCUUCACUGGACUUGUCUCGUCUUAAGAUAGAAGAAGCCACUUGAUCAUUGAACUGUCUUUGACUCUCAUCAACUACUGUAUUUUCCAGGUCAACCUUUUCUGUCUCUAACUGGCGCAGCGUGUCGAUGAGGAGCCAUUGCUUCUGCUUGAGCAGCACAAUCUGGUUCUGCAGCGAUGCAAAUUCACUCCUCAUAAUCUGCUCGCUUUCCUGGAUUGCCUCCUCCCUUACGCUCUCCUCCUGAAGCCGCUGCCUCAGCUUCUCCGUUGAGACGGCCACGUUAUCUAUCGGAGCCAUUAGUUCGCUAUUGGACAUGCGAGGGAACAUGUCCUUCACCGCCUGCAAUGCCUCCAUCCACGCCAAACGAUCCUCCCGCGUCUCCGCUCUCAAAUGGAGCCUCUUCGUGCCAGUGAAUAUCGAGAAUCUCUUAUCAUCUGAUCUGCUCUCGCGGAUCGAUGACACCUUGAGAUGGAUUUCGCCGACUGGAAUGCGUCUGAACUGACCGUUUCCGUUGUUAGGCCUCGAAAUCCUUCUCAUAGAUUCUUCCCCAAUGACUUUGGAUCCUUUCUCCGUCUCUCGAUUAACGACGAUCUUAUCGGGCCCAUGAAUCUUAUAAUACGAUAACACACCAUCCUGCAAAACAAACCAUCUAGGCCUCCACCCUUUCCCGUAAUUCACCCACUUAUACAGAAUGCCCGAUAUUCCAUUCCCAACUAUAUCAUUUAUCCUGACAUCAACCUGCUGCUCUCGCGGCAACGACACCGUCUUAACCGCCAAAGCAGCCGCCAAGCUUCGCUGGCUGGGCCGAUUACUAUUGCUGAUGAGAUUGCUGUCAUUACAAUCACUUACGUUGUGGUCGUGGCUGAGAUGGUUCAGGAAAUGAGAGUGAUGAUUAUGGACGGCAAAGAUGGAUCGGGUAAUCGGGUCGGAUCUAGAUGUGAUUGCCAUGGUUAAGGACUUGGUCGAUGAAUGGUCGGAGACGGUGGAAACACAACAAAGGUGAUGCAUAGGACAGAGAGAUUCAGAAUGAACAGGGAAACGUAUCGGAACGGAGCAUAGUGAGAACUUUCAUUUUUAGAGAGAGAAAACGGUUACAGAGAAAUGGCGUGAAAUAGAAGGAACGGUUGAUUGAUUCCGUUAAAAAGAUUUCUAGCUGGAGAGAAACAGAGUGAAUUUAAUAGCGAUGAGUUCGGUGGGGAAAAAAGGAAAAGAAAGAGAGGGAAGGAUUAAGCAGAGAGAGAAGGAAUCCAAAUCCAAAUAUCUCCAAAUCCCAACGCGGAAACGAAUUGAAUUCAAUUGAAUUCCUUUGUUUUUUGAUAAUUGAAAUUGAAAAACCAGAACAAAGUAUUAUAUAUAUUCAUGUAUUUAUAAUACACGGGAGGCAGUUUAAAAUGCGAAGCGGUUGGUUACGCGAGUUUGUGACUUAGGACUCUAUCGCGAGCGAGCGAGCUCUCCGUCUCUUUUUUAGAUUUUGGGAGGUGAUGUUUGCAUGUGGAGGGAUACAGGUAAGAAGAUAGGGAUUUGCCGCCGGCUAAUCAGGAUAAUGACGUAAAGGAUGAAGAUGUUGAAACGUGGAAGGUGCUCAGCGGCUGAACGUGUGGUGAGGGUGUUUGACGGGCAACUGGGCGACCGCUGGA